UACGAAGGGGGCUAGCGUUGCUCGGAAUUACUGGGCGUAAAGGGCGCGUAGGCGGCACUGUUAGUCAGGCGUGAAAGUCCUGGGCUCAACCUGGGAACUGCGCUCGAUACGGCAGAGCUAGAGGAUGGAAGAGGCUCGCGGAAUUCCCAGUGUAGAGGUGAAAUUCGUAGAUAUUGGGAAGAACACCGGUGGCGAAGGCGGCGAGCUGGUCCAUUACUGACGCUGAGGCGCGACAGCGUGGGGGAGCAAACAGG
rnacentral:rRNA from 1 species